rnacentral:lncRNA from 1 species
AGCGUUCUAUAAAUGACGAGUUACAUUUAUGAGCCUAUAAAUACGUCAGUUUGACUGAACAGACACAUCACAGCAGCUGCUUUAAACGGAGACAAUCAUAUCUUUGCUAAACAUCACAGAAAAACUGAUACAAUGGAGACGAAAAACACACAAGGAAAUUGUUACCAACCAGGUCAAGGUCCUAAUAGGAAGAAAAACUACCAGCGCGAGAAACGAGCUCGGAAGCGCGCGAGAGAACGGGCUGCUCUGCUCCAAACUCAGGGAGAUGUCUCCACUGAGUCUGUGGUUGUUACCAGCCCUGUGGAGGUUCAGGUAAAACCAAUAGUCCAAACCCUGCAUGAAGAAGAACAGGUUGGGCUUAAUGAAGAAGCAAUAGCAGUCGCUCAGGAGUCUGUGGUUGCUACCAGCCCUGUGGAGGUUCACGUCCCCCAUGCAGAAGAACAGGUUGGGCUUAAUGAAGAAGCAAUAGCAGUCGCUCAGGAGUCUGUGGUUGCUACCAGCCCUGUGGAGGUUCACGUCCCCCAUGCAGAAGAACAGGUUGGGCUUAAUGAAGAAGCAAUAGCAGUCGCUCAGGAGUCUGUGGUUGCUACCAGCCCUGUGGAGGUUCACGUCCCCCAUGCAGAAGAACAGGUUGGGCUUAAUGAAGAAGCAAUAGCAGUCGCUCAGGAGUCUGUGGUUGCUACCAGCCCUGUGGAGGUUCACGUCCCCCAUGCAGAAGAACAGGUUGGGCUUAAUGAAGAAGCAAUAGCAGUCGCUCAGGAGUCUGUGGUUGCUACCAGCCCUGUGGAGGUUCACGUCCCCCAUGCAGAAGAACAGGUUGGGCUUAAUGAAGAAGCAAUAGCAGUCGCUCAGGAGUCUGUGGUUGCUACCAGCCCUGUGGAGGUUCACGUCCCCCAUGCAGAAGAACAGGUUGAGCUUAAUGGAGAAGCAAUAGAAGUUGCUCAGGAGGUCACUGAGCUCAGUUUUUCAGUGGUUCAUCGAUCAGAAGACCAGGAGAUUUCACAGCCCCAAUUGGAUUUUCUGAUCCACAUGAUGGAGAACCAGGAGAAGGAGUGGAAGACCAAAAUUCUGCGUUGUCAACAUCAGAUUGAAUUUCUCUUUGACCAGCAGAAGGACAUCGAUGCCCUCAAAGAGUCUGUGGUGCAGUUCCACCAAACCUUAAAGGACCAGACAAUUCAGUGGCAGAAAAACUUGGACAUCAUCUUGGAAGCUCAGGAGAAAAACAGACAGGAUAUAAAGUACAUCAGAGAGCAGAUGGAAAAGGAAAAAAAUUCUCCCAAAAAGGAAAAUUUUUUUCAGCAACUCGUCAAAAAUGUGAGGAAGCUGUGGCAGAAGAUGAAACAGAUUGUGAUUGGCUCCAAGCAGACACCAAGAAAACAUGAGUCACAUCUAAUUGUUAAAAAGUAUUUCAAUCAAAUUUCAAUUUGAUUGAAAUACUUUGCAUCAGAACGCUGAGAAACAGUCAUGUGACUCCAACACAGCCGCC